AAUUAAAAAAAAAAAACAAAUAAGAUGCUAAUAGGGGUUAACUGAAAUGCGGCGUAAAAAGGAGGGAUUAAUCGCAGAAAUUUCCCAUUAGAAGCAUGGAGGCGCGGAUCCGGGUCUGGGACUGGGUUGACGCGCGGAUCUCCUUGCACUAAACGGCACCGUUUUAUUAACAGGUUACUUAAAACCGUUUUUCCCUAUUUCCUUUCCCAAACACAACCACCAUUUUAACCAAAAAAAUUACAGCCCUAAAAUCAAGUUGUUGGGCUCAUUCCAACGACUGCCGAAUCCACCAUUUCUUUUGGUGAUCGAUGGUGCACUAGCAGCACCUAGAAGCUGUCAAAGGCCAUGCUCAAGGAGAACAGUAUUUCAGAGAUAUUUGGGAUUUCAUUGGCGUUGUUUCAUGUACACUUGCAACACCAUGAUUGAUGGAUGACGCCUUUGGAUCCCCCUUCUAACUUCGAUCUCAACGAAGUGAACAAAGGUCAAUGGCCGAUUCGCAAGGUAAGAUUUGCCUUUCCCUCCUCUUUGUUUUAAAAUGCAGAUGAUGAAAACAAUGGCAGGAAAAUAGAUAAAAAUAACAGAAAAAUUAAAAAGACUAAAGAAGAUCACCUUUUUAGAAAUUAUUUUCGAAUUUUUUAUAUUCAAUCUGCGCAUUGUGUAUGUGUCUGCGUAAGAUUACAUAGUACAUCCAGUGGCCUUUUUAUAGCCAAAAAAUGAAAAUAAAUAAAUAAAUAAAAAUCAAAUCCUUGCUGUAUUCUGUUAUCUGCUCCUUCUCGUGUGUUCUUUUGCAGGUUCAGUUGUACGGAGGAGAUGACCCAGAUGGCGUGGAGGCCGUGUGUGGGGAUCUCACGUGGGAAGCCGACCCUCUGGUGCCAUUCCAGUGUAUUCCAUGAGCUUCUGGAGUUCUUGGCUGCUGAAAUUCUUUUUUUAGGUUCUUUCGGGUUUGGGCCCUUUUGCAAAUCGGGCUAGGAAUAUUGGUCCUUGGUCCUCAGUAUACGUUUAGGCUAUUCGGGCAUUGCGCCAAAUGUAAUUGGGUCGAAUUUGUGUUUUUUAUUUUUUGGGCUAGUUUGGUGUUUAUUGAAAGGUUGUAAGUGGACUGUUUGGGCUACUUCAAUUUUAGACUUUAUUCGGCUUUUUAUUUUAA